rnacentral:rRNA from 1 species
UACGAAGGGGGCUAGCGUUGUUCGGAAUUACUGGGCGUAAAGCGCGCGUAGGCGGUUUUGCAAGCCAGAGGUGAAAUGCCUGAGCUCAACUUAGGAAUUGCCUUUGGGACUGCGAGGCUUUGAGGACUGGAGAGGUGAGUGGAAUUCCCAGUGUAGAGGUGAAAUUCGUAGAUAUUGGGAAGAACACCGGUGGCGAAGGCGACUCACUGGACAUGUAUUGACGCUGAGGUACGGAAAGCGUGGGGAGCAAACAGG